GGGAAUGUGGCUCAGUGGUAGAGUGCUUGCUUAGCAUGCAUGAAGCCCUGAGUUUAAUUCCUCAGUAUCA
rfam:Dipodomys ordii contig_54650, whole genome shotgun sequence.